AUAAAAGUUUGAUUCUUGCUUUGAAAUUUUAUUUUAGUUUUCUUGUCACAUGUUAAUUUUUGUGGUAGUUGUUUCCUUUUCUUGAUGGUUGGGUGAUAAAUUUUUAAUUCUCAGUGCUUAUUAUUAUCAUAUUCAGUAGUUUGAGAUGUAGGAAAAUCUUAUAGUUCCGGCUAAGUUUUGUGCCAGCAGCCGCGGUUACACAAUAGGGGUUAAUAAAUUUUAUUGGUUUUGGUAUUUUUAUAUUUUUAUGGGUUUGUUUUUAUUGUUUUAAGGUAAAAUUUUAAUUUUUAAUUUAUGCUUUGGAUUAUAUAUUAUACGAUAAUGUUGUUUUAAACUAGGAUUAGAUACCCUAUUAUUUUCAUUGUAAAUUUGUUGACCUUAGUAUUAAUAGUUAUAAUCUUUAAAUUAAAAGAAUUUGGCGGUAAUUUAAUCUUUCCAGAGGAACCUGUCCUGUAAUUGAUAAUCCACGUUGAAUUUUACUUUAAUUUUGUUUGUAUACCUCUGUCAUUGAAUGUUUUUAAAGGAUAUUUUCUUUUUUCUUUUUAGGGAAAAAUGUUAGGUCAAGGUGCAGCUAUGUUAAAGUUUGAGAUGGGUUACAUUGUUUAUAUUUUUGGAUAUUUUGUUGUAAUACAUUAUUGAAAUUGGAUUUGGAAGUAAUUUAUAUUAUUUAAUAUAUUUGAUUUUGGCGCUAAAUUAUGCACACAUCGCCCGUCACUCUCGUUUUAAGAUGAGAUAAGUCGUAACAAAGUAGGUUUACCGGAAGGUGUAUCUGGUUAGGCUUGUUG
rnacentral:ncRNA from 1 species